UACGGAGGGUGCAAGCGUUAUCCGGAUUUAUUGGGUUUAAAGGGUGCGUAGGCGGUAUAUUAAGUCAGUGGUGAAAUUUUGCAGCUUAACCGUAGCAUUGCCAUUGAAACUGAAGUACUUGAGUUAUCUUGAGGUAGGCGGAAUGUGUAGUGUAGCGGUGAAAUGCUUAGAUAUUACACAGAACACCGAUUGCGAAGGCAGCUUACUAAGGGUAAACUGACGCUCAGGCACGAAAGCGUGGGGAUCGAACAGG
rnacentral:rRNA from 1 species